GGGCUGGCGUCGCGCCGAACAGUGCAUUAUAUUCCACCUGUCGGGUUCGCCCGACUAUGGCGCUAAACGUUAUGUGGAAUAGGCCUUGCGGACCCGGGGGCGGUACCCGGCGCCUCCACCAUCAACCGGCUUUGACGUUUGGUCGAGGGCGGCUCUUGGGGGCGAAACAGGAUCGACGCGGGUAGUAAAGACAUGGCUUGUGCUCGGCAUGGUAUCCACCGUUAUCGGGCUAAACUCAACAAGUGCCAACGACAACGUUGCUCUUGCCGCUGCGGCUUAACCCGUAAGCGCGGUUCGGGGGGGCGCCGGGCAACAGAAGCCCCCCCACU
rnacentral:tmRNA from 1 species